rnacentral:tRNA from 1 species
GCGAGAGUGGCGGAACUGGUAGACGCACUGGACUUAGGAUCCAGCGCACUAGCGUGCAUGGGGGUUCAACUCCCCCCUCUCGCACCA